GUGAAACUCCUGGUUUUCCACCAAUGUGUAUCACUUCUCUUCCCGCUUGGCAAUGAGUGCUUCUGUUAGCAGAAUGAAAUCCAUGCCAAUUGCAGGUGUGACACUGGCUCUCCAGCACUGUUAUGCUGUGGCUCUGGGUUAACAGGAGUGAAACCGCCUGCUGAUGCCACCCAAAUGCCCUGCAAGCCUUCCCCAGCCCGGCUUGCUCUGCAGAUAACGCAGAACAACAGCUUCCCCCAGUUUGCCGCGGUGGAACAAGCAGAGCAGACAGCGUGUGUCCCCUCGGGGGGGAGCAGGCGGUGCUACUGGUGUCCCCACUCCUCCCCAGUGCUCGCGUGGACGAAGGAUGCUCUUCCCGAUGGCUACAGCCCCGUGCUGCUGUCGGAGUCACGCAGCAGGUCAGAAAUGUCCUGCCAAGAGAGCUUAUUGUCAGAAACCUGCCGCUUCAUCAGCAGUGAUGUGUUGAGCAGGAAUCUGUCAGUUCUGAGAGAUUUAAGAGGGAACAGGCAGGAUUGAUGGCAAGGCUCGGGGAGGGAGGAAGCAUAGGGUCACUGUGGUGAGUCUAUUUUGUCACAAGCGACCCGAGUGUGUAUGUACAGCUCAGUUCAACUUGCAUCCUAAGAAUAGUUUGACUGCUUGUCCCCCACAUCCCUGGUUAUGCAUGUGUCUCAAAAGCUCACUGUAUUUUAGCUUUCAGCCUUAUAUAUUCAUGCCCACUGAUGCUAACCUUGCUUUUCAAACUAAAUGCAACUGUUCUCUCCCUGAUGAUAUAUUUAUACAGAGCCAUCACACACACUGCCAGCCCGUGUGUUGCUCAUCCAGAUGAGCCUCCUCUUGUAUGAGCAGGUCUCCACUCCCUGAACACCACAGUGACUGUUUCACCCUGCAAUUUUUAAUUCCUCUUUCUAUGUGGAUUCUGGUAAGCUGGACGUUAAGCCUUCUGCACACAUGGUAGACUACAUAGCCUAUCUAUGAAUUCACGUGCAAAUGUAACGCCUUGUUCAGAGGAGAUCUGGGGCUUUUAGAGGAUACGACUAGACUUAAAAAUCAGCUUGUCAAAUACAAUACGUUUGGGGUAAAAGUAAGAUGUAAUUCAAGAUAAUUUGAAAACUGCAUUUUGGCUAGAGCAAUCAACUUCACAAAUUGAGGAUGGGAGGUAGACGUAAUGCACUAGAUAUCCGGAAGAGUAUGUAUAUGUCCAUGUACAGCGUCUGUUGUGAUGUCAGGUAUUUGGAGCUCAUAUGAGGUCCCAGCGACUAUCAGGUCCCUUGUGCAGGAUGACAAACCGUGUUGCAAGACAGCUUUCUGACAGCUGCGGGGUCAAAAGGGACUGAGAACAUCAGUUAUGAAGCUGAUGGUGCUCCAGCAAUUGUGCACUGUCUGGAAGAGGGGACCCUCUUCAAGCUGGAGUUCUGCUCAGCAAGGAAGUUUCAGAGACCAGAAUUCUGCACCAUGGUUUCCCUAGCUGUAGGGAAAUGCUGAAUGACUUCAUCAAAAUACCCCAAAUAGCUGGUAUAGCUGUAAGGAAAACCAUUUUGGUUUCUUAUACCCCAAGAGUUGAGGGUAAGAAAAAGUAAUUUGCCAUCUCAUGGGAAACAAAGCAUUUUGUGAAGGUGAAACAGAACCUAAAGGAGAAUCCAGCAAAGCACAACUUCCCUGGUAAUCAAUCAAAAGACCCCAACAAACGUCAUAAACUUACUUCUUUUUUUUCCCCCCACUCUUCCAAGUUUUCCUGGUAGCUUUCCCAGUUUGUUCCAGAGAGCCUGUCUUCCAUUUUUGUCUAAACGUACUUUUUCUAGCGGGAACAGUCACCAGUUCCAUUUGUUGGUUCCCGUCUGUAUCUGAGCAGUACUCUGGAAGUUGUGCUUCAGUCAUGCUGGCAGUGCUGCGGUUUGGCACUUAACCCCUCUACUCCAGAAUACUCAGUCUGAUGGCCACAGGUACCCAGGAAAAGCUGCUCUUGGCAAUGUCAUAGAGUUGAGCUGCAAAACCUGCAGUCGCCGCAGUCUGGAUGCAGGGGUGCGGAGCAGCAGCAGUUCUCGCUCCGCUUGCGUGACUGCUGAGAGCUCUCCCAAAAAUGGGAGGCGAAGGGAACCCGAGAAGAAUAAUCAAUCUGCAGCAAAGAAGGCUCUUUUGCUGAGUUGUGAUUCUUCAUCUGCAGUUCUUCAGGGGCUUAAAUCCUGAGUGGCAGGCCAGGAUUUUACAUGGUUUUGCUCCUUGAAAAUGUAGUCACCCGUGCAGCUAAACGCUACAUUUUCUUCCCGCCGCUCUGCGUUGCGAGGUCUGGCUGCUGCUGUUAGGUGUGGAACAGCUUCAGCCGAGCAAAGGCGUGAGCAGGGGCCGGCAGCGGCGCCCAUCGAAGGCCGUGGCUGCAGCCCGGAGAAGUGGCUGGGCCUGGGGUGGAUCUGCACCUUGUGAAAACAGGGCCAUCAGCUGGGUCUGGCAAAGAGAAGGUGGGGACGGGUCUCCUGCUCCCCGAAGUGAUGCUUUGCCGGGCUGGACCGGGUGAGCGUGACCUGUGUGACUGUCAGAGCAUGGAAAUGGUAGCCAAGAAAUCACCGUCCUGCUGCGAUACUCAAGUACAGCUUCCAGGAGGCAUCGCAGAGUCCCUUGGGGCACUUCUGGUCCGAGGGCAGCCUGGAGAGGUGUCCAGCGCGUGGGCAGCAGAGGCGGCUCUGGAUGCAGCAGCUGAGGCUUCUUCCAUGGUGGAGGAGGUCACCUGGGUGUACUGAAGCCAGGGGCUCCUGCAGCCCCAGCAGAGGAGUUGGAUGGCGAAGCCUCCUGACAAGAUGCAUCAGGAUGAUUUUGGGCCCAGCAAAGCACACUCUGGUCUUUCCGCUGAGGAAUGAUACCUCGUUAGGGCUGCUGCGAAGGAGACAUUUGUCUGAUAAACACUAACAUCUGACGAAAAUGAUCCAAAUAGCUUGUUUUCCCACUGCCAACCUCCUAUGGACUUGGGGCUGCAAUGGAAGAUCCCAGAGCCAGAUGGCUGGAGAUCUGCCGUCUGGGUCCCUGCGGCGCGGGGUGCCAGUGGGAGGAGGCUCCUGCUGCACAGUUCCUCAGUGACUCGGGGAACUGGAAAGACGGUGUUUAACUGAACACCACGGAAGAGCCAUUCACAUUUCAUACAGUCUGGUGGACAUCUUUGGGCAAGACCUUCCACAGGGGAAUCCCUGCCUUUUCCAGGACAUGUCAUGGAACACGGAUGCUGUCCUGUGAUCACCACCUUCCCGGGCACUGUGCGAGGACAGGGAGCGCAGACGCCUUUCACUGCUACGAGGUGACGCCUUCCUCUGCCCAGAGACCGGUUCUUCUGCAGCAGUACCAACUGGAAGCUGAACAUCUGGAUGACGUGUGCUGCCCAUCAGAUGCUCUUGCCGCAGCAAAUGGUGCCACCAGCCCCUGCUGGUUCCCAGCAUCCCGGGGCAGCCCGUGGUCUGGGUGAGUGGUCCAGGGGAGGUAAGUAUAUGCAGCGCUGUGUUUGACUGUAACUCCUCGUAUUUAGGUCAUAACACUUGAGUAAAGUCCAAAUAAACUUCCCGCUGCCUUACAGCAGGUCAGGCAUAUCACCCCCUUCGCCUGGUGACCAUCCCCCUGCAAUGAAAUCCCACGCCCUACGUGCUGGGUUACAGCAGUACAUGCUGUUGGACCAAGAGAGAUUUAUCAACUGUGCAAAUCAAUACGUUUCUUAAAUUAACUGGACUAGGGUAGCAGCAAGACUGUCUGAGCCAAAUGCAAUCUCACGCUGCCGCAGACAAACAUGAAAUAUAAUGCUUUCCACAGGCUGAUAAGCCCUGUCUUACACCACGGCUUUGUUCUGCCAUUCUUCCCACGCUGCCCUGUUGUUAACGGGGUCUUCAUGCCCCGUGUUUUGGCCUCGCUCAAGCUGAAUUUUGUGUUGUGAGUGAGAGCAGCUCUGCACGGCUUUCCACCGAGGACUGGGGGCUGCUCUGUGCUCCCCCAUGGAGGUGUCCCAGGCACACGCUCAAUUCUGCCCAGCUGUGGUUCAGGGGCAGCUGCUGCAGGCAGGUCUGCAGGACCCCUACCCUCCCUGCAAUGUGUCCCACCUCGCCCCGAGAUGAUGGAUUUCCAGAGCACACCCUUCGCGCGCUUUCUUCCAAAUACACCCACCCUGGGGCAUUUACUUUGUCUGGAAAACAUCUUACUUCAUCAAAGAAUAAAGUUGCGGCAUUAGAGGUGAACACUGAGAGAAAGUUACAGCUUAGCUGCACAUCAGUAAUGGGCUGCACAGAUUAUUUAGCUAUUUUUUUUUUAAUCACAUAGCUAUUUUCUGUGGUAUUCUGUGUGCAUUAGGCACCGUGUACUCUGAAUGCCUGUAUUCCAACAUAAGCAAACACCGAAAUGAUGAAAAUGGGAAAGACAAGUGAUUCAUUUCUCGAAAUUAGCCAUAUCCCCCCGUUUCAGACAACUGGCCGUGAUAAGAUGCCUUCCACAGCGCUUCAGCCGUGUUAUAUGUGAGACUGAUUGAAAGCUGGAAAUGAGCCUUAAAGAAAAUGACAUAAAACUAUUUACCCGUAUUCAGCGGCGGCCAGCAGGACUUCGUGCUGAUGUACCGUCAACAUAUCUCCUCAGCCUUAUGUUUAAUUCAGCGCAGAGCUUGUAGUGGAAAAACAUCAAGUCGAGCUUUUAUUAAAAUUUCCUUAUUUCAAGUCUCAAAGCAACCAGUGUCAUUAGAGUUUAAGCAUGGUGGUGAAUCAGGAACCAGGAGAGCUGUUAGGUGGAACAAGAACAUUUGAAGAUUAGCAUUGGAUUCAAUUAACUGGCUCCUACUCUUUAUUCAGCAGCUGCGUGGGUGUGGUGGGGAAGGGUCUCCCUUCCCGGCACCCUCAGCCUGUGUCCUCGUGGGCCACCAUGGCCAAGCAGGUAGGGCUCCUGCUCCUUACCAAGCAAGGACGAUCACCCAAGACCCUCUGAGACUCCCUCUUAGUAUCUCAUGAGUUGAAGGUAGCAACAGUCUCUCCAUCCCAUUUUAUCUAAAUACUCAACGUGCUUGGCACUGCUUGGGCAUGGCAAGAGGCUUCUGUUGUUCCAGAGCACAGGUGGCCUGUACUGCGCUGUAGGCUGGAAAUAGGUGGGUUUGCUUGUACAUUGCAGUCAGUAUCUCUGACAGCUUUCCCUCAUUUUUGUGGCUGAACGUGGUCUGCUUUUCUAGCAUGAAGCAGAAGGAGCUACAGAACCAGUGAUCUG